CCUACGGGGGACAGCAGUGAGGAAUAUUGGUCAAUGGACGAGAGUCUGAACCAGCCAAGUAGCGUGAAGGAUUACUGCCCUAUGGGUUGUAAACUUCUUUUAUAUGGGAAUAAAAUGUUCCACGUGUGGGAUUUUGUAUGUACCAUAUGAAUAAGGAUCGGCUAACUCCGUGCCAGCAGCCGCGGUAAUACGGAGGAUCCGAGCGUUAUCCGGAUUUAUUGGGUUUAAGGGGAGCGUAGGUGGAUUGUUAAGUGAGUUGUGAAAGUUUGCGGCUCAACCGUAAAAUUGCAGUUGAAACUGGCAGUCUUGAGUACAGUAGAGGUGUGCGGAAUUCGUGGUGUAGCGGUGAAAUGCUUAGAUAUCACGAAGAACUCCGAUUGCGAAGGCAGUUCACUGGACUGCAACUGACACUGAGGCUCGAAAGUGUGGGUAUCAAACAGGAUUAGAUACCCGUGUAGUC
rnacentral:rRNA from 1 species